UAUGUCCUACGGGAGGCAGCAGUGAGGAAUAUUGGUCAAUGGUCGGGAGACUGAACCAGCCAAGCCGCGUGAGGGAUGAAGGUACAGAGUAUCGUAAACCUCUUUUGUCAGGGAACAAAGGCGGGGACGUGUCCCCGGAUGAGUGUACCUGAAGAAAAAGCAUCGGCUAACUCCGUGCCAGCAGCCGCGGUAAUACGGAGGAUGCGAGCGUUUUCCGGAUUUAUUGGGUUUAAAGGGUGCGCUGGCGGUCUGUUAAGUCA
rnacentral:rRNA from 1 species